GACAGAGGGUGCAAACGUUGUUCGGGAUUACUGGGCGUAAAGCGUGCGUAGGCGGUUCGUUAAGUUCGUUGUGAAAGCCCCGGGCUCAACCUGGGAAUGGCAAUGGAAACUGGCGGGCUUGAGUAUGGCAGAGGGGGGUGGAAUUCCGCGUGUAGCAGUGAAAUGCGUAGAGAUGCGGAGGAACACCGAUGGCGAAGGCAGCCCCCUGGGCCAAUACUGACGCUCAGGCACGAAAGCGUGGGGAGCAAACAGG
rnacentral:rRNA from 1 species